CCUACGGGUGGCAGCAGUGGGGAAUAUUGGACAAUGGACGAAAGCCUGAUCCAGCCAUGCCGCGUGUGUGAAGAAGGCCUUCGGGUUGUAAAGCACUUUCAGUGGGGAAGAAAGCCUUGGGGCUAAUACCCUCGAGGAAGGACAUCACCCACAGAAGAAGCACCGGCUAACUCCGUGCCAGCAGCCGCGGUAAUACGGAGGGUGCGAGCGUUAAUCGGAAUUACUGGGCGUAAAGCGCGCGUAGGCGGUCUGAUAAGCCGGUUGUGAAAGCCCCGGGCUCAACCUGGGAACGGCAUCCGGAACUGUCAGGCUAGAGUGCAGGAGAGGAAGGUGGAAUUCCCGGUGUAGCGGUGAAAUGCGUAGAGAUCGGGAGGAAUACCAGUGGCGAAGGCGACCUUCUGGACUUACACUGACGCUGAUGUGCGAAAGCGUGGGUAGCAAACAGGAUUAGAUACCCCAGUAGUC
rnacentral:rRNA from 1 species